rnacentral:rRNA from 1 species
CCUACGGGAGGCAGCAGUAGGGAAUAUUGCUCAAUGGGGGAAACCCUGAAGCAGCAACGCCGCGUGGACGAUGAAGGUUUUCGGAUUGUAAACUCCUUUUGUUAGAGAAGAUAAUGACCAUAUGUAACUAAUAACCACCGGCUAACUCCUUGCCAGCAGCCGCGGUAAUACGAAGGGUGCAAGAGUUACUUGGGAUCACGGUGCGUAAAGAGCGCGGAGAGGGGAUAGGAAAUCAGAUGUGAAGACCUAUGGCUUAACCAUAGGACUGCAUUUGAAGCUGUUCUUCUAGAGUAUGGGGGAGGUAGGUUGAAUUCUUGGUGUAUGGGUAAAAUCCGUAGAGAUCAAGAGGAAUACUCAUUGCGAAGGCGACCUGAUAG